CCCAACUGAUGAGAUUCCACUUCUGGUCCGUGUUUCUGAAAACCUGUGAUAUCAGUGGAAGUUCUGAUGAC
rnacentral:snoRNA from 1 species